AGCUGAGGGGCUGGAGGGAGGGGCCUCACAGCAAGAUGGCGGUGAAUCAGAGCCACACCGAGAACCGCAGGGGGGCCGCCAUCCCUUAUGGUGAAAGUCUCUUGAAGCAGUGUUCGGAUGUGGAGCUCUCCUUCCCACAGCAACCAGAGGGCUCCAACCUCUUCGUUGGGACAAAGAGGGGAACAUUGUUUCUCACUUCAUACCGGGUGAUUUUUGUGAGGGCGUACUCAGUCAGUGACCCCAUGAUGUCUUUCACGAUGCCUUUUAAUCUGAUGAAGAACUGCGCUGUUGAACAACCAGUCUUUGGGGCAAAUUACAUUACAGGCACCAUUCAGGCAGCUCCAGAUGGUGGCUGGGAAGGACAGGCCACUUUUAAAUUAGUCUUCAGGAAAGGAGGUGCCAUCCACUUUGCCCAGUUGAUGACGGAAGCUGCCUCUGCUGCUGCCCGGGGAGCUCCACUUGGAACAGAUUACUGGUUCAACCCUCUAAGAAUGUAUGUUGUUACCAGGCAGGGAAGCAUGUGCCCUCCAGAGACACCUUGUCAAGCUAUGGGCUAUGGAGUUCCACCUCCAGGAUACGGAGCGCCCCCUGCGGGAUACAGAGCCCCACCUGCUGGAUACGAAGCGUCACCUGCGGGCUACGGAGCCCCGCCUCCCGGCUACGGAGUUCCACUCGGGGGAUAUGGUGUCCCGCCUCCCGAAUACAGAGCUCCGCCAGGGGCCUACGGAGCUGCACGUGGAGGCUAUGGAGCCCCGCCUCCCAGAUACGAAACCCCGCCUCCGGGAUACGGAGCUCAACCUGGAGGAUCCAAGUUCCCACCUCCCAGAUACGAAGCCCCGCCUACUGGGUUUAGCGCCCCCUUUUCUGGACGGGAAACCCCACCUUCCGGGUCCAGAGCCCCGCUGGCCGACUCUGGAGUUGGACGUCCUGAGUCUGUGGCAGCCCAGAGUCCUGGAUAUGGGGGUUCUUCUUCCUCAUCUUCUCAGGCCCAUUCACCUCCCGACAUGUAAACCUUGAAGAUUCACCGGGCAAAGUAGCACCCUAAAAUUGAAGUCAAGCUAAGGAGGCCUUAGGUAUAUGAUCACAGGCCCAGCGCAGGUUAGAGUCAUCGAUUGACCCUCGAUGGAACCAUUAAGCAACUAGAUGCUCCUAUGUGGUCAAGGACAGCUUUUUCAAGGAAUUCAGCUCGGGGACAGAUGGAGACUGAUUUCUGGGUUCUCAUUGGCAAGCAGGUCUCCUUCCUGAAUAUGUCCUAAGGAGAAGAGAGAAGAUCAUGUAACUGGAAGAGGCUUGGGUCACUGUUUUUGCACCUCAAUUAAAGUAUGCUGUCCCACACAUCUGCAUUCGCCUUGGCUUCCCUGUUUCUGAGGGGAUCUACAUCAGCUACUGCUUUGUGCUGAUCCCUAUGGGACCACCCAGUAGGGCAACUACUUCCUGGCUGGGUUCUUAACUUCUGGGCUGGGCUUUGUGGUUUCCUGGUUCAUGCUGUUCAUUGUCUUGUUCCAAAGAAGAUGAACUUUUUUUUUGGAAGUACUACAAAUUGAACCCAGGGCCUUCUGAGGUACAUCCCUAUUAAGCUAUAUCCCAAGUCCUUUUUAAAAUUUUUUUUUUUUGAGAUAGAGUUUUGCUGAUUUGCUGAUUUGCCCAGUCUGUGGUUGAAUUUGUAAUCCUCCUGCCUCAGCCUCCCAGAGUGCUGGGAUUAUAGUUGUGCAACACCAUUUCCAGCAAGAUGGAUCUUUUUCUUCUUUUUUAUUUUUUUGGUACUGCUUUUGAAGCAGGUGGGGGAACUACUGAGCUAAAUCCCCGGCCCAAGAUGGAUCUUCUUGAUGCUCAUGUCUCUGAAUCUCAUUGAUGGAGCAUUUGCCUAAAUAGGGAAAGGUUGUUGUCUCACUCCCCAUGCAGAGGAGGGCCAGAAGAAAUUAGUGCACAAGCUGGUGGGCUGGUCCCUUGUUUGUUGUGAUGCCCAGUAUGGUGCCCUGGGUUUCCUGAGGAUCAGUUCAGGUCAAGGAGUUACUGAGGCUGCUCAGUGCCAGGAAAUGUGCACUGAGGAUUCCACACACCCUUCUCAGGAUUUACAAUGGCCUGAUAGGUUGAGUUUCAUUUCAA